rnacentral:rRNA from 1 species
CGCGUAGGUGGUUUGUUAAGUUGGAUGUGAAAUCCCCGGGCUCAACCUGGGAACUGCAUUCAAAACUGACUGACUAGAGUAUGGUAGAGGGUGGUGGAAUUUCCUGUGUAGCGGUGAAAUGCGUAGAUAUAGGAAGGAACACCAGUGGCGAAGGCGACCACCUGGACUAAUACUGACACUAAGGUGCGAAAGCGUGGGGAGCAAACA